rnacentral:rRNA from 1 species
AUUAGCGGAUGACCUGUGGCUGGGGGUGAAAGGCCAAUCAAACCGGGAGAUAGCUGGUUCUCCCCGAAAGCUAUUUAGGUAGCGCCUCGUGAAUUCAUCUCCGGGGGUAGAGCACUGUUUCGGCUAGGGGGCCAUCCCGGCUUACCAACCCGAUGCAAACUGCGAAUACCGGAGAAUGUUAUCACGGGAGACACACGGCGGGUGCUAACGUCCGUCGUGAAGAGGGAAACAACCCAGACCGCCAGCUAAGGUCCCAAAGUCAUGGUUAAGUGGGAAACGAUGUGGGAAGGCCCAGACAGCCAGGAUGUUGGCUUAGAAGCAGCCAUCAUUUAAAGAAAGCGUAAUAGCUCACUGGUCGAGUCGGCCUGCGCGGAAGAUGUAACGGGGCUAAACCAUGCACCGAAGCUGCGGCAGCGACGCUGAUGCGUUGUUGGGUAGGGGAGCGUUCUGUAAGCCUGUGAAGGUGGCCUGUGAGGGUUGCUGGAGGUAUCAGAAGUGCGAAUGCUGACAUAAGUAACGAUAAAGCGGGUGAAAAGCCCGCUCGCCGGAAGACCAAGGGUUCCUGUCCAACGUUAAUCGGGGCAGGGUGAGUCGACCCCUAAGGCGAGGCCGAAAGGCGUAGUCGAUGGGAAACGGGUUAAUAUUCCCGUACUUGGUGUUACUGCGAAGGGGGGACGGAGAAGGCUAUGUUGGCCGGGCGACGGUUGUCCCGGUUUAAGCGUGUAGGUGUGUGUUCCAGGUAAAUCCGGUUCACUUUAACACUGAGGCGUGAUGACGAGGCACUACGGUGCUGAAGCAACAAAUGCCCUGCUUCCAGGAAAAGCCUCUAAGCAUCAGGUAACAUCAAAUCGUACCCCAAACCGACACAGGUGGUCAGGUAGAGAAUACCAAGGCGCUUGAGAGAACUCGGGUGAAGGAACUAGGCAAAAUGGUGCCGUAACUUCGGGAGAAGGCACGCUGACACGUAGGUGAAGUGAUUUACUCAUGGAGCUGAAGUCAGUCGAAGAUACCAGCUGGCUGCAACUGUUUAUUAAAAACACAGCACUGUGCAAACACGAAAGUGGACGUAUACGGUGUGACGCCUGCCCGGUGCCGGAAGGUUAAUUGAUGGGGUCAGCGCAAGCGAAGCUCCUGAUCGAAGCCCCGGUAAACGGCGGCCGUAACUAUAACGGUCCUAAGGUAGCGAAAUUCCUUGUCGGGUAAGUUCCGACCUGCACGAAUGGCGUAAUGAUGGCCAGGCUGUCUCCACCCGAGACUCAGUGAAAUUGAACUCGCUGUGAAGAUGCAGUGUACCCGCGGCAAGACGGAAAGACCCCGUGAACCUUUACUAUAGCUUGACACUGAACAUUGAGCCUUGAUGUGUAGGAUAGGUGGGAGGCUUUGAAGCGUGGACGCCAGUCUGCAUGGAGCCGGCCUUGAAAUACCACCCUUUAAUGUUUGAUGUUCUAACGUGGACCCGUGAUCCGGGUUGCGGACAGUGUCUGGUGGGUAGUUUGACUGGGGCGGUCUCCUCCUAAAGAGUAACGGAGGAGCACGAAGGUUGGCUAAUCCUGGUCGGACAUCAGGAGGUUAGUGCAAUGGCAUAAGCCAGCUUGACUGCGAGCGUGACGGCGCGAGCAGGUGCGAAAGCAGGUCAUAGUGAUCCGGUGGUUCUGAAUGGAAGGGCCAUCGCUCAACGGAUAAAAGGUACUCCGGGGAUAACAGGCUGAUACCGCCCAAGAGUUCAUAUCGACGGCGGUGUUUGGCACCUCGAUGUCGGCUCAUCACAUCCUGGGGCUGAAGUAGGUCCCAAGGGUAUGGCUGUUCGCCAUUUAAAGUGGUACGCGAGCUGGGUUUAGAACGUCGUGAGACAGUUCGGUCCCUAUCUGCCGUGGGCGCUGGAGAACUGAGGGGGGCUGCUCCUAGUACGAGAGGACCGGAGUGGACGCAUCACUGGUGUUCGGGUUGUCAUGCCAAUGGCACUGCCCGGUAGCUAAAUGCGGAAGAGAUAAGUGCUGAAAGCAUCUAAGCACGAAACUUGCCCCGAGAUGAGUUCUCCCUGAGACUUAGAGUCUCCUGAAGGAACGUUGAAGACGACGACGUUGAUAGGCCGGGUGUGUAAGCGCAGCGAUGCGUUGAGCUAACCGGUACUAAUGAACCGUGAGGCUUAACCUUACAACGCCGAAG